AGAUGGAUCAUUCAUAAGUUACUAUUCAGUUAAUAUGGUGGUUUAUUAUGGUUCGUGUAACAAAUAAAAUAAAAGAUUUUGGUGUAAUCUUCGUGUAACAAGCGAAAGACUCUGGUAUAAUGCCCGUGUAACAAACGAAAUGAAAGACUCUGGUGUAAUCUUCGUGUAACAAGCGAAAGACUCUGGUAUAAUGCCCGUGUAACAAACGAAAUGAAAGACUCUGGUGUAAUCUUCGUGUAACAAGCGAACUAAACGACUCUGGUCUAAUGUUCGUGUAACAAGCGAACUUAAAGACUCUGGUAUUUUGCCCGUGUAACAAGCGAACUUAAAGACUCUGGUGUUUUGCCCACUUAAAGACUCUGGUAUUUUGUUCGUGUAACUUGCGAACUUAAAGACUCUGGUGUAAUCUUCGUGUAACAAGCGAACUAAACGACUCUGGUGUAAUGCCCGUGUAACAAACUGAACGAAAGACUCUGGUGUAAUCUUUGUGUAACAAGCGAUAUAAAAGACUCUGGUAUUUUGCCCGUGUAACAAGCGAAAUGAAAGUCUCUGGUGUAAUCUUCGUGUAACAAGCGAAAGACUUUGGUCUAAUGCCCGUGUAACAAGUGAACUAAACGACUGUUGUCUAAUGCCCGUGUAACAAGCGAACUUAAAGACUCUGGUGUAAUCUUCGUGUAACAAGCGAACUAAACGACUCUGGUGUAAUGCCCGUGUAACAAGCGAACUUAAAGACUCUUGUGUAAUCUUCGUGUAACAAGCGAACUAAACGACUCUGGUGUAAUCUUCGUGUAACAAGCAAAAGACUCUGGUUUAUUUGCCGCGUACCAACAGGACUAAAAGACUUUGGUCUAAUACCCGUGUAACAGGCGAACUAAACGACUCUGGUCUAAUGCCCGUGUAACAAGCGAACUUAAAGACUCUGGUUUAAUGCAGCAAGCGAACUUAAAGACUCUAAUUUAAUGCCCGUGUAACAAGCGAACUAAAAGACUCUGGUUUAUCGAAAAUAUGCAAGUAAAAAAGAUUAUAUUUAUAUCUUUCAGCGAUGGAUGGCUCGGAUCUCAUAACGAUGAAGAACGUAGCUAGCUGCGAAAUGCAGUGUGACAUGCAAACUUCUGUGAAUCAUUAGAUUUUUGAACGCAAAAGGUACUUCUAAAUUCUGGGAGUAUGUUUAUUUCAGUGCUUUUCUAUGUUUGUUGUCCAAAUUGGUGGUCAACGUGGAUAGUGGCUGUGAUAAUGGCCACUUUAAGAGAAUGGUUAUAGUUUUUAGGUGUCACUGAAGAAACUAUAACUAAUAAUAUUUUUUUAACAAGCCUGAAAUUGAACAAGUAUACCCGUUGAACUUAAGCAUAUUAUUAGGCGGAGGAAAAGGAACUAACAAGGAUUUCCUUAGUAACGGCGAGUGAACAGGAAACAGCUCAAACUGAAAAUCGACAGUUUUCUGUCGAAUUGUAGUCUCAUGAAGUGCAGCCUGUAAAUAUUUUGUAUUAAGUCUCUUGGAAAAGAGUACCACAGAGGGUGAGAGUCCCGUCUUUAUUCAAAAUUAUUUACUUUCGGUGCAUUUUCAAAGAGUCGCGUUCUUUGAGAUUGGAACGCCAAGUGGGUGAUAAACUUCAUCUAAAGCUAAAUAUAAGUGAGAUUCCGAUAGAAUACAAGUACCGUGAGGGAACGAUGAAAAGAACUUUGAAAAGAGAGUUAAAAGGUACUGAAAUUGCUGAAAGGGAAGUGGAGGGUUUCAACUGUUAAGCAAUGUUCUGCAUGUGUUCGGGGUAUUUUCUUGUCCAUGAACAUAUGGUGGAGUUUUGCGGUAACACUGGAUGUGGUUGUUUAGCUUGAUUACAGUAUUGCUUGGCUCUAUUUUAGAGCUCAAUCUUUGCUGGUUUCAAGCUGGAUAAUCUAUGUAUUUCUGAUUUAACAGUACUGUUAAAUUAUACUUUUCCAGGAAUGUUGAUUCCCUCCUCCCCGUCUUGAAUCACGGACCAAGGAGUCUAUUUUAUGUGUGAGUACAAGGGUUGAAAACCCGCGUGCGAAAUAAAAGUAACAGUUAGGAUGGUUUUACCUGCACUAACAUUCGGUCACUGAAUCGAAGUUGAACACAUAAAAUAGGACCCGAAAGAUGGUGAACUAUGCCUGAGUAGGGUGAAGCUAGAGGAAACUCUGGUGGAAGCUCGUAGCGAUACUGACGUGCAAAUCGUUCGUCAAACUUUGGUAUAGGGGCGAAAGACCAAUCGAACCAUCUAGUAGCUGGUUCAUUC
rnacentral:misc_RNA from 1 species